rnacentral:rRNA from 1 species
AACGAACGCUGGCGGCGCGCUUAACACAUGCAAGUCGAGCGAGAACCAGGACUUCGGUCCUGGGGACAGCGGCGAACGGGUGAGUAACACGUGGAUAACCUGCCCUCGGCACCGGGAUAGCCCGGGGAAACCCGGAUUAAUACCGGAUGGCCCUUCCGGCUCACGAGCCGGUCGGAAAAGGUAGCUUCGGCCUCCGGCCGAGGAUGGGUCCGCGGCGGAUUAGCUUGUUGGUGGGGUAACGGCCUACCAAGGCUCCGAUCCGUAGCUGGUCUGAGAGGACGAGCAGCCACACUGGGACUGAGACACGGCCCAGACUCCUACGGGAGGCAGCAGUGGGGAAUCUUGCGCAAUGGGCGAAAGCCUGACGCAGCGACGCCGCGUGAGGGAGGAAGGCCUUCGGGUUGUAAACCUCUUUCAGGAGGGACGAAGCUACUCGGGUGAAUAGCCCAGAGGGUGACGGUACCUCCAGAAGAAGCCCCGGCUAACUACGUGCCAGCAGCCGCCGCGG